rnacentral:rRNA from 1 species
CGCGUAGGCGGAACGUCAAGUUAGAGGUGAAAGGCCUGGGCUCAACCUAGGAACUGCCUUUAAAACUGACGAUCUAGAGUCCGGAAGAGGAUGGCGGAAUUCCCAGUGUAGAGGUGAAAUUCGUAGAUAUUGGGAAGAACACCGGUGGCGAAGGCGGCCAUCUGGUCCGGUACUGACGCUGAGGCGCGAAAGCGUGGGGAGCAAACA